UUCUAAAGGGUGAGAAGUUAGCACGCUCAUGUGGUUAUUAUUCAUAAGCGUAUAGCUUUUCCCCUUUGGCG
rfam:Agrilus planipennis Contig32568, whole genome shotgun sequence.